GAUGAAGAACGUAGCGAAAUGCGAUAACUAAUGUGAAUUGCAGAAUUCCGUGAAUCAUCGAGUCUUUGUACGCACAUUGCGCCCCCUGGUAUUCCGGGGGGCAUGCCUGUCCGAGCGUCAUUACAACCCUCAAGCCCGGCUUGUGUAAUGGGCGGCCGUCUCUCCCCCCGGGGGGAGACGCCCCCGAAACUCAGUGGGGAUGUCGCGAUACCGAAGCCUCAGCUAAUGGGUAAACCACAGCUGCAAUGGCCGCGGCCGGCGUCCGCCUUCCACGGUCCGUCCGCCUAGCGCGGGCGGCCUUCUCAAGGUUGACCUCGGAUCAGGUAGGGAUACCCGCUGAACUUAAGCAUAUCAAUAAGCGGAGGA
rnacentral:misc_RNA from 1 species